UGGGGUGUCGCCAAGCUGGUAAGGCAACUGGUUUUGGUCCAGUCAUGCGUGGGUUCGAAUCCUUCCACCCCAGCCA
rnacentral:tRNA from 1 species